GUGAUGGCCAAUGGAAUCCUGGUGCUGGCCCAGUUGUGAAGCUCAGCCACAUUAGAGACUGAGUAUAAAAUACUGGUGAAAUAAAAUGGCAGCGACUUGGACAACUAAUUCAAAUCAUCACUCUCCUGUCCUGAGAGGCAUGGUUUAGAAAGUUGUGCUUAUUUAGUAUGGUGAACAGAGUGCAAACAGAGCAGCUGUCGGAAACAUGCUGAGCAAUUGCACAGUGAUCCAGUCAUACACUGAGGGGAGCCCACCCACCAAGGUAACCCAUCUACACCAAUGAACACACACUAGAGUCUGGGCAAGAAGAGUCGAGGCCUUUGUGAGCACAGGCCAAGUCUUCAGCCAGGUCCCUGAACAACGAGGUGGCGCAGUCAUGCUCCAAAGAUCCAGCAGAAGGAGGUGCUGAAGGGUGGGGAUGGAUUCUGGCUCUUGCCUCCUUUCCAGCCCAAUACAAUCUUUACCCUGUGGAGUUGA